rnacentral:rRNA from 1 species
UAGGGAAUCUUCCACAAUGGACGCAAGUCUGAUGGAGCAACGCCGCGUGAGUGAAGAAGGUUUUCGGAUCGUAAAGCUCUGUUGUAAGAGAAGAACGUGUGUGAGAGUGGAAAGUUCACACAGUGACGGUAACUUACCAGAAAGGGACGGCUAACUACGUGUCAG